rnacentral:rRNA from 1 species
UACAGAGGUCUCAAGCGUUGUUCGGAUUUAUUGGGCGUAAAGAGCGUGUAGGCGGCCAGGUAGGUCUGCUGUGAAAACUCUAGGCUCAACCUCGAGACGUCGGCGGAAACCAUCUGGCUAGAGUCCGGAAGAGGAGAGUGGAAUUCCUGGUGUAGCGGUGAAAUGCGCAGAUAUCAGGAAGAACACCCGUGGCGAAGGCGGCUCUCUGGGACGGUACUGACGCUGAGACGCGAAAGCGUGGGGAGCGAACAGG